GCUUCCUUAGCUCAGUUGGUAGAGCGCAGGUCUCAUACAACACGUAUGACUAAGCAAUGCUUAGGUAAUCCUGAGGUCGACAGUUCGAGCCUGCCAGGGAGCA